rnacentral:rRNA from 1 species
AUUGAACGCUGGCGGCAGGCCUAACACAUGCAAGUCGAGCGGUAGAGAGAAGCUUGCUUCUCUUGAGAGUGGCGGACGGGUGAGUAAUGCCUAGGAAUCUGCCUAGUGGUGGGGGAUAACGUUCGGAAACGGACGCUAAUACCGCAUACGUCCUACGGGAGAAAGCGGGGGAUCUUCGGACCUCGCGCCAUUAGAUGAGCCUAGGUCGGAUUAGCUAGUUGGUGAGGUAAUGGCUCACCAAGGCGACGAUCCGUAACUGGUCUGAGAGGAUGAUCAGUCACACUGGAACUGAGACACGGUCCAGACUCCUACGGGAGGCAGCAGUGGGGAAUAUUGGACAAUGGGCGAAAGCCUGAUCCAGCCAUGCCGCGUGUGUGAAGAAGGUCUUCGGAUUGUAAAGCACUUUAAGUUGGGAGGAAGUGCAGUAACCUAAUACGUUAUUGUUUUGACGUUACCGACAGAAUAAGCACCGGCUAACUUCGUGCCAGCAGCCGCGGUAACAC